rnacentral:rRNA from 1 species
CCAAUAGCGUAUAUUAAAGUUGUUGCAGUUAAAAAGCUCGUAGUUGAAUUUCGGGAUCAGUAGGUUGGUCAUGCCACUGGUAUGUACUGGUCUCACUGAUUCCUCCUUCCUGAUGAGCCGUAAUGCCAUUAAUUUGGUGUUGCGAGGAAUCUGGACUGUUACUUUGAAAAAAUUAGAGUGUUUAAAGCAAGCUAAUGCUUGAAUACAUUAGCAUGGAAUAAUGAAAUAGGACGUUCGAUCUUAUUUUGUUGGUUUCUAAGAUUGACGUAAUGAUUAAUAGGGAUAGUUGGGGGCAUUAGUAUUCAAUUGUCAGAGGUGAAAUUCUUGGAUUUAUUGAAGACUAACUACUGCGAAAGCAUUUGCCAAGGAUGUUUUCAUUAAUCAAGAACGAAAGUUAGGGGAUCGAAGACGAUCAGAUACCGUCGUAGUCUUAACCAUAAACUAUGCCGACUAGGGAUCGGAUGAUGUUAAUUUUUUAAUGACUCAUUCGGCGCCUUACG